rnacentral:rRNA from 1 species
ACAGCUCAAAUUUGAAAUCUGGCUCUUUCAGGGUCCGAGUUGUAAUUUGUAGAAGAUGCUUUGGGUGUCGGCCCAGUCUAAGUUCCUUGGAACAGGACGUCAUAGAGGGUGAGAAUCCCGUAUGUGACUGGCUGCCUCCGUUCAUGUGAAGCUCUUUCGACGAGUCGAGUUGUUUGGGAAUGCAGCUCAAAAUGGGUGGUAAAUUUCAUCUAAAGCUAAAUAUUGGCCAGAGACCGAUA